CAUUAUACAUUUCUCUUACAGUAAUAUGUUGGGUUCCACGACAUUGGACUCAUCUGAAGCAUUAGUGCCUUUUCCUGAAGGAGAUUGUCCAACGUCUCGGACAGUCACCUGGUCAGGGUUUUCGAAUGCGUUGAGUCUAACUCUAGAUGGAUGACUUAGCAGUGGAAAUAUUUGGAACUCAGUUGGUUUAGUCAUUUCUCAACUUCGAACUGUCCCUUUUUUGACAAUGCAUUUAAUUCCAAAUACAGACAUGAAUCUGACACGAGUAUGGCUUUACAGCAUCAUGAUUGGAACGUCAGGCCUGUGCGGUCGGGCUUGAUGGACCAAUGGACCGCCAUGUGUGUUGUACUGCUCUGUAAAUCUUGUGCUGGAGGAUUGUUUGUGUCUGGACUUGAAUACUUUGUGAAAGAAUGGACAAAACUAGUUGGGACAUGACUAAAUCUUCUUGAGGCUUCAUCUAUCUUCUUUGCUGGGAAGUCUGUCUAUUGUCAAGAUGACACAAAUUUGAAGAAUUCUGACCUCAGGACGGAAAGAUUGCCCCAUUAAAAAAACAAGUACCUAAACCUUGUAAAAAAUAACAGAAACAGAAAAAAAGAGAUGUCGAUAAAAACUGAAGAUAUGAUAAGGCUUCAUUUGACUUUGAGGAAGCCCUGCUAGCCUGGAUAAAUGUGAAGGAGAGGUGAAUCUAUGAACUGAAUCAAAGUACUGAAAGUCGCCAAACUGAAGACUGUGAGAGGGAAUUUUCUGUGCAGUAUCGCACCUGACUGCCUUUAGGAACAAUUGACAAAACAGAAAAAAAGUGAAGUUGAUAAAAACUGAAGGAUAUUAUAGGGCUUCAUUUGACUUUGAGGAAGCCCUGCUAGCCUGGAAAAAUGUGAAGGAGAAGAGAAUCUAUGAACUGAAUCAAAGUACUGAAAGUUGCUAAACUGAAAACUGAAAGGGAAUUUUCUGUGCAGUAUCGCACCUGACUGCCUUUAGGAACAAUUGACAAAACAGAGAAAAAAAGUGAUGUUGAAAAAAACUGAAGGAUAUGUUGGGGCUUCAUUUGACUUUGCUGCCUGGAAAAAUGUGAAGGAGAGGAGAAUCUAUGAACUGAAUCAAAGUAAUAAAAGGCUAAACCUAUUGAAACAAUCAUUUAUAUCAUUAUAUCAGCUGCGAAUUUGUACAUGUUUAUGUUAUGUUUUUUUCUCUCUCUUAUAUAUGUAGCUUGUUCUAGUACUUCGGUUAGGAUAAGGCGACUAAGUGAGAUAACACUGGCCAGCUGACCCAUGUGGUAAGGUUGGGGUAGCCGGCUCGCAGCAUCUUUUCAUUUGUGUUCAUUGUAACUUGUAUAUAUAUAAUUUUCUUUUCUUGAAUUUCUGUCUCUGUUUAAGAUUUUUGGUUGCUCACUUUACCAGGUAAGUAAGUUGUAAUAUUAAAGUCUUGUUUUUAUCUUAACAUUGUCUCUAAGCUCCAUCAGGUUCACCAAUAUUGUGCCUGGCGGGGACACCCCAUAAAUCGGGCGUGUAGUUCUGGGGAAUUAUACCCCUAAUUAAUUAUGGUUUUUUUUUGCUAACCUAUGUUGUACAUAAUCACAUACUUUAUAUAUGUUGUUAAUAAAUCUAAGUACAUUUGCAUACACUUUUAAACUUAAGGGGUCGUCCGCAAUUCUCUAACCUCUCGGGUCACCUGGAUACAGCAUACAUACAUACAUACAUACAUACAUACAUACAUACAUACAUACAUACAUACAUACAU
rnacentral:lncRNA from 1 species